GCUGCUGCUGCCUAAGUUCGACCCGGUGCUCCUCCCCGCGCUGCUGCCAGCGGCAACCUACACGAUAAGCUGCUGCAGAUUGAUGGACCGUGUCACACACGUGGACGAGGGAUGACGCAGCACGCCGGCGACGGGGCGCUGGACAACAAGACGUGUUGCAAGGGGCCCACAGAGGGGACAGUGGCGUUUUAUCCGCUCCGGAGGCCAUUCCAUUUGGAUCCAUCCACGAGCAGCAGGGAGAGAUCAGCCACAGUCAGUUCGUGCAUGCCUUGUAUCAUGUCUACUUCGAGCAGUAAGGAGGCCUCGACCUGGUUGUUGUGCCACAGUGCAGGUCGUUCUGGUAUGGUGCCUUUGGCCGUCGUAGUUCACCGCCGACAAAACCGUCGCCGCAGCCAUGCUGCUGGUGAUGUCGACGGCCCGCCCUUCUACAUGGCCAGUACUUCCUCGAGCAUGUGCAAAAUUACCGGUCUCGCCUUUUCAAAUGUGUUGGUAUCCUCUGGAGCUGAUACCCAGAUAUUUGUUUAGAACACUAAUGGUGGGAGAGGCAAAAACAGUUCUUUGCAUGUCUUGUUGUCCAUGAGACCCAGAUUGCCAUCAGCGAUGCUUUAACACUAGAACCUAUCAAGCAGUCAGCUGAUUUAUGCAAGCUUCAUGGAUGCCGCUGUCUGUAUAUUUAGCGCUUCAAGUUUGGGACUACGACAUCGAAUUCUUCCAGCUUCUUAUCUUCCCCCAAAUAUCAGGUUAAUUGACAAUAUUUACUUGAUGUAGACAAGGCCCAAGUGAGAAGAUUCCAUCCCUUCAAAGUGACAAGAUUGCAUCACUUUCAUGCUUCUUUAGUUUACAACACUAGGGAUCCCGUGGGGGAAGGUAGAUAUGUUUCUGGGAUGCAUGACCAGAAUAGCUCGAUUUGCCGAUGAUUUUAUUGCUUAUGGGUAUAGCCUACUCGAUUUUUGUUUACAAGAGAGAAAUUUGAAUAAAAUCAUAUUUUGUUCUGUAGCAUUGCCACAGCACAAGGAUCUACAGUUGCUGCACCUCUACCCUGACCAGGAAGGUGGUGCUAGAGCGCUGGUGGUUUUGCUGUGGCGCGUUUUGCCUGUCCGCUGCGGAGGCUGUUCAGGGCUUGCAGUUCUCAGGUUCUGACUGCUAUGUCCACCGUCUGAUGUGGGUUGUGCCAGGAGCACACUGGCCCACCAGGUCAUGUCAUCAAUUGGGGCAGAAGCAGCGUUGCAGCUUGCAGGCCUGUGGCGACCGCAGAAACACUCUUGCUGGUGUUGACGAUGGACAUCGACUUCUAGCUUGGACCUAGCUGGUGACCCAAGCAUGCUGAUGCUCCCUGUUUUCAUUGAGUUCAGACUGAUAUAUCCAUGCCUGCUGCAAGCUGUGCGUUCUCUGCCAGCAGAUAGGUCGCGUCAUUGAUAGGAGCAGCAGCGGCAUUCCAGAUGAGGGACUCAAAGUAACAAUACUUUGCCAUUGCUUCAACAUAGUACACUUGCAAUGUUACUAGUGGUCAGUUUGUGUGGCUGAUGAUAGCAUGACCCUUUCCAUCAGUUUUGUAGAGAAGUAGUAUCUUGUGCAACACGUGGGAGAGAGUUUCAUCGGGAGGCGCUGCACAGUUCGCUAUCCGUUGGCGACUACAUGGCAGCUCUUGCAGGCACCACCGACCAUCGACACCGUCACAACACAUGCCCUUCUGCUCGGUCCUCCCUGCCAUUCAUAGCCGGGAUGCACGCAAGAACCGAUGCCCGGCCUAACCGAUAAUGCAAGGAUGUUACUGCUGUAUAUACUCAUCGACGUGCUUCUGCCAUUGCUAGGACUUUGUGAAAAUGUACUCUGAGUACAUCUAUUUCCUAUUUAAGGAGGUUGAUGUUGAAGUGCCAGCUCACGAGGAGGAAUCAAGUGAAUAACAAGAUACAUACAACCACACAGACUAGACGAAGUAGAGACAGAAUAUGGUGUACAUAAAAAACCCAAGGCGUGCUGGUACUUUGUGAAGACCUUCGCAUGCUCUCAUACUUCCGUUUUGGUUAACUCCCGGGUUAGGACGAAGCCGUGUAGCUGUAGCUGGCCAGGAGAGAGCCAUGGCCGCUGGAUCCGGCAUGACCCGACAAUUCUAGCAUUCAGAAGGGAUCCAUGUGCGCCGAACCGGCGUAACUCUAGGUCCCCCUCGGUGCGGCAAAGAAGGAUGGCAAGGAGGAAAAACCACAAGCUGUCCACUGGCCUGUUGAUCGACAAGUUCUCCAAGAUCCAGAUCGACCUGGUCUUCCAGAACGGAGUUUGAGCUCUAGAUGCGAUUUGUUUUGACAGAGAUGCGAUGGAUUUUGACUCCGAAGAAGAAUCUUAAGGUGUAAGAGGUUGAAGAAAAGAUCGUUCCAGCCAUAAGGAAAAUGGUACUUCUUCGUCUCCUAUAUGGAGUUCCGCUUCUGCCCUUCUCUCCUAUGGGUGCCUUAUGGCAUUGAAAUUGAGCCUUGGUUAUUCUGUGCUCCGACCAUCAAGCCAAUGGUGAUCUAUUUAUUAAGGAAUGUACCAUAGGUCAGAGUUCGAUUUCUACUUCUAUAGCCAUGCUGGCAUUCAGGAUGGACGCUAAGCGGCUCGGCAUGGCUCUUGGUUGCUGACACCACCACCCUCCAGAAAUCCACCAGCAGACGGCACGCGACGAGGAGGGCGCGCCGGCCAACGAUGCCGAUGAGAACGAGCCUGCGUUUCCUGCCUGGAUAUGAGCUUGUUGGUCUGCGGCUUCACCAACCUCGGUCGUUGGGGCCCUUCUGUGCUAAGGAGUUUGCUGGAGGCUGGGUGGUGGGGGCAGCAACGUCUUAGAGCGGCCAUAUUGUCCUUGCAAGGCGCAUGUUGCACACUGAUGUUGAGAAGCAGAGAUUUGACUUGCAAAGUUGUAAACAUUGUUAAUUAGCAAUAAUUUCAGAGUUGUUGUACAACUUGUACUAGGUGGCAUGUUUUCCUGAUGAUUAUUGCCAUGCGCCCAUGAAAACUCCUAGAUAGUAUAUUAAGAUCGUCUCCCCGCAAGGACAUGCUUGCUCCGGUUACUUUCAGUUCUAGGUGUAU